rnacentral:rRNA from 1 species
UGCUAGUCAGCGCUCCCCAGCCAAAGGGGAGUGCGGCAUACAGCUCAGUAGCACGUGGCUAACCUGCCCUUGGGACAGGGACAACCCCGGGAAACUGGGGCUAAUCCCCAAUAGGCGAAGGCUUCUGGAAUGAACUUUCACCCGAAAGGAUACCUACGCUAUGCUCGUAGGCUUCGCCCAAGGAUGGGGCCGCGACCGAUCAGGUUGUUGGUGAGGCAACGGCUCACCAAGCCUAUAACCGGUGCGGGCCGUGGGAGCGGGAGCCCGGAGAUGGGCACUGAGACAAGGGCCCAGGCCCUACGGGGCGCAGCAGUCGCGAAAACUUUGCAAUAAGCGAAAGCUUGACAGGGCUAUCCCGAGUGCCAUCCGCUGAGGAAGGCUUUUACCCAGUCUAGUAAGCUGGGGGAAUAAGGAGAGGGCAAGUCUGGUGUCAGCCGCCGCGGUAAUACCAGCUCUCCGAGUGGUGUGGAUGUUUAUUGGGCCUAAAGCAUCCGUAGCUGGCUGAGUUAGUCCCCUGUUAAAUCCACCGAAUCAAUCGUUGGAUUGCGGGGGAUACUGCUCGGCUAGGGGACGGGAGAGGCAGACGGUAUUUCCGGGGUAAGGGUGAAAUCUUAUAAUCCCGGGAAGACCACCAGUGGCGAAGGCUGUCUGCUAGAACGCGCCCGACGGUGAGGGAUGAAAGCUGGGGUAGCGAACCGGAUUAGAUACCCGGGUAGUCCCAGCCGUAAACGAUGCAGGCUAGGUGUUUGGGCGGCCACGUGCCGCUCUAGUGCCGCAGGAAAGCUGUUAAGCCUGCCGCCUGGGGAGUACGAUCGCAAGACUGAAACUUAA